rnacentral:rRNA from 1 species
UAUGGGUUAGUGGCGGACGGGUGAGUAACGCGUGGGUAACCUGCCUUACACAGGGGGAUAACACUUAGAAAUAGGUGCUAAAACCGCAUAAGCGCACAGCUUCGCAUGAAGCGGUGUGAAAAACUCCGGUGGUGUAAGAUGGACCCGCGUCUGAUUAGCUUGUUGGCGGGGUAACGGCCCACCAAGGCGACGAUCAGUAGCCGGCCUGAGAGGGCGGACGGCCACAUUGGGACUGAGACACGGCCCAGACUCCUACGGGAGGCAGCAG